GCCGAGAUGGCGGAACAGGUAGACGCACGGGACUCAAAAUCCCGCGCCGCAAGGCGUGCCGGUUCGAUUCCGGCUCUCGGCA
rnacentral:tRNA from 1 species